GGACCUGAAACCAGGUGUGUGUAACCUGCGUUGUGUUGAACCUGCACGAUUCAGCCCUGCACACGCCCAGACUCAAACCCGCAAACAGCAGCACCCCGGAUAGGGAGGCGAGCAUGCUGACAGUUGAGCCAGGCUACUGGCUUGCAUGCCAGCAGUACUCUUGAGGCGUCGGGGAGUGAGGUUUACCAACGUUCAACAAGCACAGCUAAGCUAGCUGGCAUCC